GGAAAUCCUGAUCGAACAGCAUUUUAAUUGACUUUCCGGCAUCAUGUCGUGCGAAAAAUGAAGUCAUUGCGCGCGCGGAAGCGCGUGCACAGAACAGGUGCGCACGCAGCUCUUCGGCAUGCACGUGUCAACAUAAAGAAAAGCAUCGUCAAAGUUCUAAAGGUUUAACCAUCAUGUUACGAGAAAAAGCAUCGAUUAUAAGAAAUUAGAAAUGACAUCGAAGAUAAAACUAACUUCAAAUCAAAAGAUUUGCAAUUAAUCCGAUAAACGCGUGUUCAUGGCGAAGCCUCAUAUAACAACCGACAUAGAUUUACGUCACAUGGAAUUGGCUUCCUAUCAUAUUUCCAUCGAUCGAAUCUAAACUAAGACAACUUGCAUUCAUUUGAAGAAACAGACAAAUGGAAAUUGAUUUGAAUGAUCGAAUUGAUCUAAUAGAAAAAUACGUAUUAAUGAAAUAAUACAUACUAGAUUUCUUUUCGUGCACGUGGAAUGAAAUGCAUACGUGAAACUGCUCGAUGAAUAUCUUUAAUAAAGAGAACAAUUUCAGCUACAGAAUCGAUGCACACUCGACAAGGAUUGAAUAUUAUCAUGAUAAGUAGAAUUAUAUAUUAUCGUUCUUUCAUUAACAAAAUAUCCCAAGUAUUAUUCACAUGUUUGAAAAGGAUAACAAAAAUAUCAAAAUGAUAGUGAAUAAUAUAUGAUAUAACUUAUAAAAAAAAAAUGAUAUAUAACUUAUUAGAAAAAUGCCAUUUUAAUUAUUAUUUUUAGCUUUUUUUAAUUUUAAUUUUUUUAAUUUUUUAAAUUUUAUAAUAUGAAAUUAUAUAUAUUAAUAUAUUAUAUAAUAUAAUAUCCAUUGUUCUAAAUAUACAAUGCAUGUAGAUAUAGCUUAAUUGAUAGUGAUAGAUAACAUAUAAUUCAUAACUAAUAAAUGAUAAUAAUAUAAAUAUAAAUAUUUGAUAUUUAAUAAAAUAUAAAAGAUAAAUUUAUCGAAGCCUUUUAAAAAUCUAAUUUUUUAAAAAUGAAAUGAUAUUAUUAAACAUGUAAUGAUGUAAUAAAUUUUGUAUUAUAUAAUGAAGAAUUUAUUAUCCUGAGAAAAAUUUUGAUAAAAUGGAAACAUUAAAUAAUUUUGUUCAACUGCACAUUUACGAUAUCAUUUUUAUCAUAUCCAAAUGAAUAUAUCCAGACAGAUAAAAGCUAAAAAAAUGCGGACAAAUUUCAUUUAAUUCUAACAAUCUCAUCUUAUAUAUGAUUAAUUUUUCAUGACAGAUACUGUCAUCUAUAUCAUGAUUUAAAAAGAUAGAGAAUAAAAUUGUAUUAUUAUCUUUAAAGAAUAGUUAAUUAAAGAAUAAUUCCUCUCCAUUAUUUCAGAUAUUAAAUAUUUGUCUUUUAAUUACAAUGAGAAUAUUUUUUUUUAAUUUUUAUCACUGUAGUCUUUGAUUUAUUUUUUAAAAAAAUAAAGAUAUUUAGCUAUUGUAAAAAGAGAGUUGCAAUUCGCAAAACAGUUGAAAAACAUUGUUUUAUACAUAGUAGUACAAUAAAUCUUGUUGACUUGCUCCUUUGCUGUUUUUUUCUGCACUCUAUCGCGCCAUGAAAAACGCAUGCAUGAAAGAAUCUCGAGCAGCCUCUUAUCCCUCGUGCUUUUCCAAUUUUUUCUUUCCGUUUGCGAAACGCUCGUUAAAAAGCGAUGAAAGAUAAUUCCAACUCUUGCAAACUGUUUUCCAAAACAAAAGAAACAUCCAACUUUCAUCUAAUCUUUUUUCCAGUUACAAGGAUAGAAGAAAAAUCUUUCAUUUAAAGAAUAUUUAUUUCAGAAAUGAGAGAUUCGAGUGAAAUCCGGAAAUUUAAGUAAUAUCACAGAAAAUUAGAAUUUUUCCUGUGUGGAAUAAAAAAAAAUUGGAAAAUAAUCAUAUAACUAUAACUAUGUGAUAGCGAAACUUGAUAUUUUUCUUAUCUUACGAUAUAAUAAUUGAAAAAAGUGCUCUUAAAAUAUAUUAUUUAUCCUUAUUUAAUGGCUAAGUAAUGGAUGAAGAAUAUUGCAACAAUAGAUGAUAAUUCAUCAAAAUUAAGAUAUAUAUCUAACAAUAAAUAUAAGAAUUAAAUUUGAUUCUUCUUGUUAAUUAAAAAUUAUUCUUGUUAAUUUAUCAUUCUCAGUAUUUAUUUAUUUUAUAACAAAGAAAAUUAAAAAUAUUUUCUCGAAGCUUAACUCGAAUAUUUCAAAAGCGAAUAUUUGUGUAAAAGUACAUAUAAGAUUUCAACGUGUAAAUAUUUCAGGAAUUCCAAAAUCCCUAAGGAUGGUAUAUCAAUCUUUCAUGAUGGCCGUUUCAUUUGCAUCAAAAGCCAAUGGACGUUAAAAGAUUUAUACAAGAAUCGCUUAAGCGAGAAUCGAUAGAUCGAAUAAAAAGGAAUUUCUUGAAGAGAAUAUUUUUAGAUCGACAGAUGCUACAACCUUGGAUGUAUAAAAGUUGAUCUAAAAAUAAUUGGCCAAUCGUUACGGCUUAUUUACUAAUGGAAAAUCGGUUCAUCGACGUGUAUAACGGUGUAUGCGCAGGUACCGUUUUAAAAAAAGGCCCACCAUGAUGAUAUUUCUUCUUUUCCUAUUCCUUUUCCUAGAGUAUAAAAUUCACAAGAAGUUCUCGUAAUCGUUUCAAUGAAAACGCAGCUUUAUAUUCAAUAUUGAUGCAACUCAAAUCGAAAAUUUCCAUAAUAAUUAUUUUUCUAAAAAUCAAAUUUUUUAAAUAAAUCUUUAUCAUAAUUUAUCUAAUAAAAAUUUUAAAUAGAUUAUUCUCAAAAGUUAAGAAGUAAAUCAUUACACGAGAAAUGCAAACACUUUGAUGAAAUUCAAUACUAAUAAAAAAAAUUAAAUCAACGAAUUAAACGAUAAGACAUAUCGAAAACAAACAGUAGUAAUUUUAUAUUUAUUCUGUAUACUAUCGACGAUAUUGUGUAUCGAAUAUACUUCGUAAUUAAGAUUCAUAUAUAUGUAAUAUGUAAUAUAGUAAUUAACACGUGUAUGAUAUCAAUCUAUUGACUAGAUUUACCGAAGAUAUUUCACGUUUUUAUACAAAUUGUUGAAAUCUUGUCAUAAAAAAUUAUUAUUAAGUUUUUUUUUUAAAACAUUUGGGCAAAAAAAUUUUGAUAUGAUACUUCACAAUAUCA